AAAGAUUAAGCCAUGCAUGUCUAAGCACAUGCCUUAAUACGGUGAAGCCGCGAAUAGCUCAUUACAACAGCCACCGUUUACUAGAAUAUAGUUAUCCUACUUGGAUAACUGUGGCAAUUCUAGAGCUAAUACAUGCAAAAAAGCUCUGCCCGCAAGGAACGAGCGCAUUUAUUAGAAUAAAAACCAAUCGGGUUUCGGCCCGUAAUUUGGUGAAUCUGAAUAACUUUGCCAAUCGCACAGUCCUAGUACUGGCGAUGUAUCUUUCAAGUGUCUGCCUUAUCAACUUUCGAUGGUAGGUUAUACGCCUACCAUGGUAGUAACGGGUAACGGAGAAUAAGGGUUCGACUCCGGAGAGGGAGCCUGAGAAACGGCUACCACAUCCAAGGAAGGCAGCAGGCGCGCAAAUUACCCACUUCCAGAACGGAGAGGUAGUGACGAAAAAUAACGAGACAGUCCUCUUCGAGGUCUGUCAUCGGAAUGGGUACAAUUUAAAUCCUUUAACGAGGAUCUAUUGGUGGGCAAGUCUGGUGCCAGCAGCCGCGGUAAUUCCAGCUCCAAUAGCGUAUAUUAAAGUUGUUGCGGUUAAAACGCUCGUAGUUGGAUCUGCGGCCUCGGAGAACGGUCCCCCGAAAGGGUGGUCACUGUCUCUCCUAGCCUAAAUUCGAGUCGUCUCUAGGUGCUCUUUACCGGGUGCUUAGAGUGACUAGAACGUUUACUUUGAAAAAAUUAGAGUGCUUAAAGCAGGCGAAAUAGCCUGAAUAAGGUGCAUGGAAUAAUGGAAUAGGACCUCGGUUCUAUUUUGUUGGUUUUCGGAACCCGAGGUAAUGAUUAAGAGGAACAGACGGGGGCAUUCGUAUUCCGGCGCUAGAGGUGAAAUUCUUGGACCGCCGGAAGACGGACGACUGCGAAAGCAUUUGCCAAGAAUG
rnacentral:rRNA from 1 species